rnacentral:rRNA from 1 species
CCUACGGGAGGCAGCAGUGGGGAAUCUUGCGCAAUGGGCGAAAGCCUGACGCAGCCAUGCCGCGUGAAUGAUGAAGGUCUUAGGAUUGUAAAAUUCUUUCACCGGGGACGAUAAUGACGGUACCGUAAGAAUAAGCACCGGCUAACUACGUGCCAGCAGCCGCGGUAAUACGUAGGGUGCAAGCGUUAAUCGGAAUUACUGGGCGUAAAGCGUGCGCAGGCGGUUUUGUAAGACAGUGGUGAAAUCCCCGGGCUCAACCUGGGAACUGCCAUUGUGACUGCAAGGCUAGAGUGCGGCAGAGGGGGAUGGAAUUCCGCGUGUAGCAGUGAAAUGCGUAGAUAUGCGGAGGAACACCGAUGGCGAAGGCAAUCCCCUGGGCCUGCACUGACGCUCAUGCACGAAAGCGUGGGGAGCAAACAGGAUUAGAUACCCUGGUAGUCCACGCCCUAAACGAUGUCAACUGGUUGUUGGGUCUUAACUGACUCAGUAACGAAGCUAACGCGUGAAGUUGACCGCCUGGGGAGUACGGCCGCAAGGUUGAAACUCAAAUGAAUUGACGGGG